AUAGCGUAUAUUAAAGUUGUUGCAGUUAAAAAGCUCGUAGUUGGAUCUCGGGUACUAGCAUGUGGUACGCUUAAUUGCUGUUACUGCUUGUCUAGUCCUAAUCAAUCGGUUGGCCGUUUAUGCCCUUUACUGGGUGUUUUCGGUAGCCGAUACGUUUACUUUGAGAAAAUUAGAGUGCUUAAAGCAGGCUAUACGCCUGAAUAAUGUUGCAUGGAAUAAUAGAAUAGGACCUCGGUUCUAUUUUGUUGGUUUUGUAGAGCAUUGAGGUAAUGAUUAAUAGGGACAGACGGGGGCAUUCGUAUUGCGGUGUUAGAGGUGAAAUUCUUGGAUCGCCGCAAGACGAACAACUG
rnacentral:rRNA from 1 species